UUCCCCUCAUCCCAAUCAUUUCCCCGUUCCAUGUCAUCCCAUCUUUUACGUGAUUCACCCCAGCCUCAAAACAGAACCCAUUCCCAGCCGUCCGAACCUCAGGAUUUCAUCCAAUUCCUCCCAUUCGUUAACCAAUUUAACACCCUCGUUUCUCCCACGAUGCAUGCCAAGCAAAUCAUCCUUCCCACGUUUCUAUACCAAACAAAGCCCCGUACGCAUCUUCUUCGCAUCCAGCAUCAUCCUCCCAGCAUCCCAAACAACUAAAUCCAAAGAUUUCCUUCAACCGUGAUCUUCCCUUCAUCCCAUUCAGAAUCAUUCAUUCUCUUCCCCUGUUCCGGAUCAACCUCAUCCGCAAGCCAUUCCAAGCUUCAACAGCAUCACUCCACGAUUCGCGUAGGAUCCAGCUCCAUCCUCCCACGGAUAAACCCAGCAUCCCAACCAUCUUCCUUUCCUCCCGUAUCCCAUGAACAAAUCCAAUCGAAUAAUCCGUCCUUCCCGAGCUUCACGGACCAGCAUUUCACAUCUUCCCUUCAUCUCGAUCACACCCAGCCAGCUUCCGAUCUUUUCUCCCUUCGGAACAGAGUAUUAGCUUAUCCACUACAUCCAGAUUCAUCCCAGCAUCAGCUCCGCAUUCAUCCUUAUCCUUCCCAGCCGAAUCAAGCAUCUCAGCCGAAGCCCCUGCAUCCCAAACCGACCAAUCCCAACUAGAUUCACAUCUCCCUGUUAUCAACCGUAUCCACCGAUUCUAAGCUUCAACAACGUCUUCCCCUGUUCCGAGAUUCUCCUUAUCCCACGGAUCAACCAUCAACGAUGCAUGCCAACGUCUGAUUCCUCCCGAACCAAGCCAACGGCAGCAUCUUCCGAAUCCCCUGUUCCCACUGAAUCAAGACUCAUCUGUUCCCAAGCCAUCUAGAACCAAGUCUAGAUUAGUAUCUAAAUUUUCCCUCCAUUCCGUGUUCAUCUUCCACAUCAUCCCGUUCCUUCCAGGUCCAACAAACAGGGCUCUGUUUCGGAACAGAGCUAAGAUUCUCCACAUCUUCCGCAGUCCAAACAUCUCCUCCGGAUCAGCUUCAUCCCGAAUUUCAUGGAUUAACAGCAUCCCCUCUGUUCGUAAGAUCAGCAUCAACGGCACUAUCCUUCCAAACCAAGUCUUCAUCCCGUUGUGAUCCCCUUCUUCAUUCAAAUCCCAGCAAAUCUCAGCAUCUGUGGGCGAACUUGUGUAUCCUUAUCUCAGUUCUUCCGCUCCCAGCUACCCACCUACCACCCUUAUCCCUUGCUUCAACGGAUCAGAACUGCAACAGUCCGCGGAUCAAGCUUCCCAACCAUCUGCCUCUUCCCAACGCUCGAAUCAAAUCUUCUACGCGUCGCCCGCUGCCGUGGAACAGAAGCCGUUCCUCCAUCCUCAUCUUUUCACUCGGGAAGCUUAUCCUCCGGAUGCUAAUAGAGAAUAGAGAAGCUAUAAAAGGAAGGGAGUUCUCUUCUCUGGGAUUCAUUCUUCUGUUCCAUUCUUCUUCCCCCAUCAAGCCUGGAGUGAGCCGAAUCCCAUGAAGUCAAGAGAGAGAAUAUUUUUGGGUAUUCUAGGAAUGAUUUCCCAGAAGAGCUGAGAGGGAGCCGUUUUCAGUAGAAGCUGCACCGGAAGGAGACGUCGAAGAGAUGAAGGUAGCCAUGAUGGGAGCCCGCUGCUGUGCUGCUACUGCCGUCCACCACUGCAUGGAAGCUUAAGCUCUUCUCUAGGGUCGGAUGCAGUCCUAACAAAGGGCCAAGGGUUUUGUAUUUAUUUUAUUUUUAUUCUUGGAGUUGUAUAAACUUUAUUUUGCUCCUAAUAAAUAUUUUAUUUCAUCUCAUAUUUAAUAAAGGCACCUACGUCCACUCCCCAAGCGUCC
rnacentral:lncRNA from 1 species